rnacentral:lncRNA from 1 species
CAUUGCGGGACCGGUGGUCGGCACUAGACUUGAGGGGAGGGGAGGAAGAGGAGGGGGAAAAGGAGGAAAAAGAAAGGCAUCCAACACAGAACAUCACAUAGUAUAGAUACCAGGAAACAAGAACAAUUGUCUUAGGGGUGCUAUGUGACACAGAGUGCCCAUGAAGAACAGCAGCUAGGGUGGACUAAGGAAAAUAAGAUGUGGUCCCUGGCCUGGAAGAGCUCUGCAUGGUAUUACAGCAUAGACGUGACCUGGAUGCUUAGUAUCAUAGCACAAGAGCAUGAGCAUAGACAAAAGUAAAAAAAGGCCUCUUGAAAAAGAUUCUUGGCCGUAGUCUUAAGGCAAAGUCUAUAGUUAGCCACUGAGCACGCAAGACAUCUAUUCAAUUUGAUUCCACAAGUGUUUCUGGACAACCUACUAUGUGCCAUGAUAGACCAUGUUCAGAGAACCACGUGUAUUUUAGUACGGCUACAGCUAUGCAUAAUAUUAUAAAAGUCCUGGAUGCUCGCCUCCAGAGUUUGGAUUUCAUCCUUUAGAUGGCAGAAAUCAACGGAAAAUACGAACAGCAGGGUAGUAAUACCCUUCCUCAGCCUUCUUAUACGAUACAUUCUGCCCAAGGAGCUAUCAUAAAGGCUCCAGGGAGCUGCUGGGCCCCCUAUAUCAGACAUGGCAUACAAGAUCAGUGCUAGGGUCUACUGCCUCUCUGCCCCGUUAUGCCAUCACACUCCACUGUUCCAGUGGUGGGUACGGUCUACUGCCUCUCUACCCCCGUUAUGCCAUCAUACUCCACUGUACCAGUGGUGGGUACGGUCUACUGCCUCUCUGCCCCGUUAUGCCAUCACACUCCACUGUACCAGUGGUGGGUACGGUCUACUGCCUCUCUGCCCCCGUUAUGCCAUCAUACUCCACUGUACCAGUGGUGGGUACGGUCUACUGCCUCUCUACCCCCGUUGCGCCAUCGCACUCCAGUGUUCCAGUGGUGGGUAGGGUCUACUGCCUCUCUGCCCCCGUUAUGCCAUCACACUCCACUGUUCCGGUGGUGGGUACGGUCUACUGCCUCUCUACCCCCGUUGCGCCAUCGCACUCCAGUGUUCCAGUGGGGGGUAGGGUCUACUGCCUCUCUACCCCCGUUGCGCCAUCGCACUCCAGUGUUCCAGUGGGGGGAAGGGUCUACUGCCUCUCUGCCCCGUUAUGCCAUCACACUCCACUGUACCAGUGGUGGGUACGGUCUACUGCCUCUCUGCCCCCGUUAUGCCAUCACACUCCACUGCACCAGUGGUGGGUAUGGUCUACUGCCUCUCUACCCCUGUUGCGCCAUCGCACUCAAGUGUUCAGUGGGGGGUAGGGUCUACUGCCUCUCUGCCCCGUUAUGCCAUCACACUACACUGUAUCAGUGGGGGGAUGGUAUACCGCCUCUCUGCCCCCAUUAUGCAUCACACUCAGUGUACAGUGGAGAGGACGGACUACUGCCUCU